GCAGAAAAGCGAGCUGUGCCCCAAGCUUCCUAAUCUGGGGGCCACAGGUUCGAAUCCUGUCGGGUGCACCA
rnacentral:tRNA from 1 species